AUGACGCAGUCACGUGACACAAAAUAACCAAUAGGAGGAGAGACAGAAGAGCCAACGGGAAGCCACUGCAAAUCAUCUUGUCAUCCGUAAGCACAUGAUCAAACGGAGACACACGAUGACGACAUUCCUGGCUUCCUUCCACAGAUCAUCGUCAUCAUGGCCGUUGACGAUCACCGGG